AUUGAACGCUGGCGGCAGGCUUAACACAUGCAAGUCGAGCGGGCGAGGUUGCUUCGGUAACUGAGCUAGCGGCGGACGGGUGAGUAAUGCUUAGGAAUCUGCCUAUUAGUGGGGGACAACAUUCCGAAAGGAAUGCUAAUACCGCAUACGCCCUACGGGGGAAAGCAGGGGAUCUUCGGACCUUGAGCUAAUAGAUGAGCCCAAGUCAGAUUAGCUAGUUGGUGGGGUAAAGGCCUACCAAGGCGACGAUCUGUAGCGGGUCUGAGAGGAUGAUCCGCCACACUGGGACUGAGACACGGCCCAGACUCCUACGGGAGGCAGCAGUGGGGAAUAUUGGACAAUGGGCGCAAGCCUGAUCCAGCCAUGCCGCGUGUGUGAAGAAGGCCUUUUGGUUGUAAAGCACUUUAAGCGAGGAGGAGGCUACUUGGAUUAAUACUCUAGGAUAGUGGACGUUACUCGCAGAAUAAGCACCGGUUAACUCUGUGCCAGCCGCCGCUGUAAUAC
rnacentral:rRNA from 1 species